rnacentral:siRNA from 1 species
UACCAUGGGAUUAGGGUUCUUGA